rnacentral:rRNA from 1 species
UAAGGAAUAUUGGUCAAUGGACGCAAGUCUGAACCAGCAAUGCCGCGCGAAAGAUGAAGGUCCUCUGGAUUGUAAACUUCUUUGAUCUGGGACGAAAACGGGAUUUUUAUCGCAAUUGACGGUACCAGAGGAAAAAGCAACGGCUAACACUGUGCAAGCCGCCGCGGUAAUACGGAGGGGGAGAGCGUUAUUCGGAUUUACUGGGAUUAAAGGGUGCGUAGGUGGGCUUAUAAGUCAGUGGUGAAAUCUCCGAGCUUAACUUGGAAACUGCCGUUGAUACUAUAGGUCUUGAAUUAUCUGGAGGUAAGCGGAAUGUGUCAUGUAGCGGUGAAAUGCGUAGAUAUGACAUAGAACACCAGUUGCGAAGGCAGCUUACUACAUCUAAAUUGACGCUGAGGCACGAAAGCGUGGGGAUCAAACA